UUUGAAGAGAGAGUUCAAGAGUACGUGAAACUGCUCAGAGGCAAACGGGUGGGCCCUCGAAAUCCUCUCGCGGGGGGAUUCAGUCCGGAGACGGAGGGGCGGGGAAACCGUCGCGCUGGACGUCCUMCGGGAYGCGGCCGACGCCCCGACCGUCUCUGUGCUCGCCGGACGCAUUUCCUCCCGCGCCGUGGACGCCGCAGCCGCUCGGGCAGCAGCGAGAGUCGGCCGUGAGGUCGUGCCGAGGCAGGUGRCGGGAGAGUCGGCAAGCCCGUUCUCUUCCCGCGUCUGGCCUGCGCGACCGUGGCGCGACGCCCGAGCGAGGAKA
rnacentral:rRNA from 1 species